rnacentral:rRNA from 1 species
ACGUACACUCCUGCGGGAGGCAGCAGUGGGGAAUAUUGCACAAUGGGCGCAAGCCUGAUGCAGCCAUGCCGCGUGUAUGAAGAAGGCCUUCGGGUUGUAAAGUACUUUCAGCGGGGAGGAAGGCGAUAAGGUUAAUAACCUUGUCGAUUGACGUUACCCGCAGAAGAAGCACCGGCUAACUCCGUGCCAGCAGCCGCGGUAAUACGGAGGGUGCAAGCGUUAAUCGGAAUUACUGGGCGUAAAGCGCACGCAGGCGGUCUGUCAAGUCGGAUGUGAAAUCCCCAGGCUCAACCUGGGAACUGCAUUCGAAACUGGCAGGCUAGAGUCUUGUAGAGGGGGGUAGAAUUCCAGGUGUAGCGGUGAAAUGCGUAGAGAUCUGGAGGAAUACCGGUGGCGAAGGCGGCCCCCUGGACAAAGACUGACGCUCAGGUGCGAAAGCGUGGGGAGCAAACAGGAUUAGAUACCCCGGUAGUCCCAUGAU